rnacentral:rRNA from 1 species
CGCACGGGUGAGUAACGCGUAUGCGACCUGCCCGUUGCAGGGGGGAUAAUCGGGAGAAAUCCCGUCUAAUACCGCGUAACGCCGCGGGGCUGCAUGGCCCUGCGGCCAAAGGGAGCGAUUCCGGCAACGGAUGGGCAUGCGUGACAUUAGCUAGUUGGCGGGGCAACGGCCCACCAAGGCGACGAUGUCUAGGGGUUCUGAGAGGAAGGUCCCCCACACUGGUACUGAGACACGGACCAGACUCCUACGGAAGGCAGCAG